UAAACACACACCGACACCCAGAAUUCUGAAUUUUGAGCCAGUAUUUUCCCUCAGCGCUCCACUGUAAACUGGGAGAGCACUCACCUUCCAAACACCAGUGGAACGCAGGCUUCCUGAUAAUCAACCUCCAGCCGGACUACAACAAAAAAGUACCUCCAGACUGCUGGACUGACUCAGCGCUGCCGGCCCACUGAUCUGGUUCAACUCUGCAACACAGGCGUUGCCACAGCCAACUAGCCUUCUCCACCGUGACCUCUGAUCUCACGCCGAUCCUCUGCAUGUCUGGUUGACGCCAGUGUUGCCAUGCAGUUUUUCAGUGCAUUUGAAACAGACAAGGAGUCUCUCCUCUCCCUAAAGGCAG